rnacentral:tRNA from 1 species
GCGGGUAUCGUAUAAUGAUUAUUACCUCGGCUACUUUAGCCUUCCUAGCUGAUGAUGUGGGUUCAACUCCCGCUACCCGCU